rnacentral:rRNA from 1 species
GACGAACGCUGGCGGCGUGCUUAACACAUGCAAGUCGAACGGAAAGGCCCUGCUUUUGUGGGGUGCUCGAGUGGCGAACGGGUGAGUAACACGUGAGUAACCUGCCCUUGACUUUGGGAUAACUUCAGGAAACUGGGGCUAAUACCGGAUAGGAGCUCCUGCUGCAUGGAGGUGGUUGGAAAGUUUCGGCGGUUGGGGAUGGACUCGCGGCUUAUCAGUUUGUUGGUGGGGUAGUGGCUUACCAAGGCUUUGACGGGUAGCCGGCCUGAGUGGGUGACCGGCCAAAUUGGGACUGAGGUACGGCCCAGACUCCUACGGGAGGCAGGAGUGGGGAAUAUUGCACAAUGGGCGGAAGCCUGAUGCAGCAACGCCGCGUGCGGGAUGACGGCCUUCGGGUUGUAAACCGCUUUCGCCUGUGACGGAGCGUGAGUGACGGUAAUGGGUAAAGAAGCACCGGCUAACUACGUG